rnacentral:rRNA from 1 species
GUAGGUGGCAAGCGUUGUCCGGAAUUAUUGGGCGUAAAGCGCGCGCAGGCGGUUCUUUAAGUCUGAUGUGAAAGCCCACGGCUCAACCGUGGAGGGUCAUUGGAAACUGGAGAACUUGAGUACAGAAGAGGAAAGCGGAAUUCCACGUGUAGCGGUGAAAUGCGUAGAGAUGUGGAGGAACACCAGUGGCGAAGGCGGCUUUCUGGUCUGUAACUGACGCUGAGGCGCGAAAGCGUGGGGAGCAAACAGGAUUAGAUACCCUGGUAGUCCACGCCGUAAACGAUGAGUGCUAAGUGUUAGGGGGGUUUCCGCCCCCCUUAGUGCUGCAGCUAACGCAUUAAGCACUCCGCCUGAGGAGUACGGCCGCAAGGCUG